GCCAGCCUCUGUUCUAUCCUGCCGGUGCAUCGUAUAACCAGCCUCUGUUCUGUCCUGCCGGUGCAUCGUAUAACCAGCCUCUGUUCUGUCCUGCCGGUGCAUCGUAUAACCAGCCUCUGUUCUAUCCUGCCGGUGCAUCGUAUAACCAGCCUCUGUUCUGUCCUGCCGGUGCAUCAUAUAACCAGCCUCUGUUCUAUCCUGCCGGUGCAUCGUAUAACCAGCCAGCCUCUGUUCUAUCCUGCCGGUGCAUCGUAUAACCAGCCACGCCUCUGUUCUGUCCUGCCGGUGCAUCGUAUAACCAGCCAGCCUCUGUUCUGUCCUGCCGGUGCAUCGUAUAACCAGCCACGCCUCUGUUCUGUCCUGCCGGUGCAUCGUAUAACCAGCCUCUCCUCUGUUCUGUCCUGCCGGUGCAUCGUAUAACCAGCCACGCCUCUGUUCUGUCCUGCCGGUGCAUCGUAUAACCAGCCAGCCUCUGUUCUAUCCUGCCGGUGCAUCGUAUAAC
ensembl:lncRNA